UUUGAUCAUGGCGUACAGGACGAACGGCUGGCGCGUGCUUAACACAUGCAAGUCGAACGGAGUGCCCAUGACAGAGGUUUCGGCCAAUAGAUUGGGUACUUAGUGGCGGACUGGUGAGUAACGCGUGAAGAACCUGCCUUUCAGUGGGGGACAACAGUUGGAAACGACUGCUAAUACCGCAUGACACUUUUUGGGGGCAUCCCCCGAGAAGUCAAAGCUUUAUGUGCUGAAAGAUGGCUUCGCGUCUGAUUAGCUAGAUGCGGGGUAACGGCCCACCAUGGCGACGAUCAGUAGCCGGUCUGAGAGGAUGAACGGCCACAUUGGGACUGAGAUACGGCCCAGACUCCUACGGGAGGCAGCAGUGGGGAAUAUUGGGCAAUGGGGGAAACCCUGACCCAGCAACGCCGCGUGAAGGAAGAAGGCCUUCGGGUUGUAAACUUCUUUUACCAGGGACGAAGGAUGUGACGGUACCUGGAGAAAAAGCAACGGCUAACUACGUG
rnacentral:rRNA from 1 species